ensembl:piRNA 21ur-2892 ncRNA
UGAUAAGGUACAGAAUAGUUG